GGCGCCCAUGGCGGGCGGCGCCUCCGGUCCGGCGCUGGCCGCGGCCGUCUCCGAGGCCGGGGGGCUCGGGUUCCUGGCCGCCG
rnacentral:tRNA from 1 species